GCAGCAGCCGCGGGAAUACGAAGGGGGCUAGCGUUGCUCGGAAUUACUGGGCGUAAAGGGAGCGUAGGCGGGUCGUUUAGUCAGAGGUGAAAUCCCGGGGCUCAACCUCGGAACUGCCUUUGAUACUGGCGACCUUGAGUAUGGGAGAGGUAAGCGGAACUCCGAGUGUAGAGGUGAAAUUCGUAGAUAUUCGGAAGAACACCAGUGGCGAAGGCGGCUUACUAGCCCAUUACUGACGCUGAGGCUCGAAAGCGUGGGGAGCAAACAGGAUUAGAUACCCGCGUAGUCCCUGUCUCUUAUAC
rnacentral:rRNA from 1 species